GGAAUGAGGGGCACUGCAGGGAUGGGGGUGGCUGCAGGCUGGGAGUGAGGGGCACUGUGAGUUAACCCCUGCCUGCCCAUGCCUCAGAUGCCCAGCUGCAGCCCAGAGACCCCUGUGGGGCAAAAGGGGUGGAGCCAACUGUCAAGGCAGGCACUGGCCCCGUGGUCACCAGCUGCCCAGGGAGCUGGGGGGCUGGAGCAGGGCAGGGCAGGCUCCUGCAGCCACUGCCCCCCCCAGGCCCUGCCCAAGCCACCAACCAUAGGUUCCAUCACCACCACCCUCUGCAGCCAGAGGAGCUACAAGGCCAGAGUAUCCCACAUCCAGGAGACUGCAGGGGAGAUGGCUGUGCUCUCUGCACCCUGGCCUGCCUCUUCUGCAAACUCAGGGCUCUCUGCUCCCUGGCCCUAUGCUGCGGAAGUGAACCCUGCUGGGCAAGGGCAGGACCAUCAGCUGGGGGAGGUGGGGCCUGCAGUUGCCCCUGGAGCCCAUGGGCUGUGACUCAGCCUGCCUGGAGAUUGCCUUAGAGUGCUGUGGUAUGUUUCCCCAUUUAAGUCUCCUCAUGAGAGGCUCUACCCAUCCCAGGCCCCACCCCCUCUUCAGGGCCGAGCCCUACCAAGGUAGCCUGCGAAUGAAUGAGCCACAGCCUGCUGUGAUGCAUCUGGACACCCCCCUCCCAUCCCCCACCUCAUCCUUUCUGCAUCUGAUGUUAUCCAGUGAAGUAUUACCAGGACUAUGAAAUCGUAGGUGAGGAUGGGAAGAGACUAAGAUAGCAGUAUCCAAAUCAGGCCAUGCCCCUCUGUGACUUCAUUUAACCAGACCAUGCCCUUUCAAACCAUGACAUCAUUUUGUGGCUCAAAUCUGGCCCACCCAGGCAGUGAUGUCAUGCACAGUGGUGUGCCCUGCCCAUAGUGGCUAUGACCUAAUCCUCUGGGCCAAGCCCCACCCCAUUGGCUGUGG